rnacentral:rRNA from 1 species
GCUAAGCCAUAAACAUUGAUGGCACCCUCACCAAGCCUUCCGCCAGAACAUUACAAGUAAAAAACUUAAAACUCAAAGGACUUGGCGGUGUCCCACCUCGACCUAGAGGAGCCUGUCCUAUAAUCGAUACUCCCCGCUCAACCCAACCUCUACUAGCAUUACUCAGCCUAUAUACCGCCGUCGACAGUCUACCCCAUGAGGGCCUAAUAGUAGACAAAAUAGCAACUUACGUCGCUAACACGUCAGGUCAAGGUGUAGCAAAUGUUGAGGAAGUGAUUGGCUACAUUUUUUAUUUUAAAAUAUACGAAAUACAACUUGAAACCAUGUACAAAGGUGAAUUUAGCAGUAAAAUAGGCAAGAGUGCCUACUUUAACAUCGCUCUGGGACGCGC